rnacentral:sRNA from 1 species
GUCCUGCCAGUAGCUCUCUUCCCAUCUCUCUGCGAGUUCGUCUUUCAUAACAACCCUCUGGUGGCCCAUACACGAGGUGAAAACCGAAAUCCCAAAGGUGCCGAAGCAGCCUCUGGUGCUCCAUCACCCACGCGUGACGACAACCAAGUCUCCCUCAAAGGAUAUGCUAGAGCCAGAGGCAGAGCUGGCUGAAGAUCUGCCCACUACCAAAAGCACUUCUGUGGAGUCAGAGAUGCCCACUGAGAGCCUGGAAGGCCUUUCCCUGUCUCGCCGGACCUUCGUGCCACUGCCUCCCAUCUGCUCCGACUCCACUGUGCAUAGUGAAGAGACCCUGUCCCACCUGAGUGACACAGCUGUCCGCCUCAGCCCAGAGCGCCCAUCAGAUGAGGACUCCAAGAGCACAGAGUCCAUCUU